AGGUGCGAUCAUACCAGCACUAAUGCACCGGAUCCCAUCAGAACUCCGCAGGUAAGCGUGCUCGGGCGAGAGCAGUACUAGGAUGGGUGACGUCCUGGGAAGUCCUCGUGUUGCACUUC
rfam:Phaseolus vulgaris cultivar G19833 chromosome 6, whole genome shotgun sequence.